AGCUUAUAUGUUCUAUAGCCUCUCACUCGCAGGCACGCCUGCGAGAAGGUCGUUCCGGCAACAUGUGGUCUGGAGCCAGCUGAAUGAAAUGGGAGGCCCUUGGCAUUUUCGAUACUGAGGUGCACCAAAGGAAUACUGAGGGUGUCGAUCGACAAGCUGUCAGGAUCACUGGGGAGUGCAGGCGGACUGCUGUUGGUGACCCCUUUGGAUGCUAAGUCUGCCUCCAGGUCUGAAAUUCACAAGAUAUAUCUGAGAGCCACUGUGAUAAAGCAUAAGCCUAUUUGUGCCUUUCUUAACUCCCAUAAACCCCUUUGUUUAGUAGUUUAAAAGUUCAGACCGUCGGUUCACCGUCUGGUUUUUAUAUGUAUUCAUUAAUAAAUAAUGCAAUAAGCAUAUACAUAAAUAUACAAAGCGCUGCAAGUGUUUCCAUAUUGUUCCGAGAAGAAAUUGUAUGGGGUACAAGUGGAGUUUGAUAGGGUAGUCAUGUCAAAACAUUAAUCUUGCUAAUCUCUAGACCUGGGAGCAUCUGGUGCAUAUGUAGCUUUGCUCCAGUUUA